rnacentral:rRNA from 1 species
UACGGAGGGUGCAAGCGUUAUCCGGAUUCACUGGGUUUAAAGGGUGCGUAGGCGGGCAGGUAAGUCAGUGGUGAAAUCUCCAAGCUUAACUUGGAACUGCCGUUGAUACUAUCUGUCUUGAAUACUGUGGAGGUGAGCGGAAUAUGUCAAUGUAGCGGUGAAAUGCUUAGAUAUGACAUAGAACACCAAUUGCGAAGGCAGCUCACUACACAGCCAUUGACGCUGAGGCACGAAAGCGUGGGGAUCAAACAGG